AUUGAACGCUAGCGGGAUGCUUUACACAUGCAAGUCGAACGAGUGGCGGACGGGUGAGUAAUAUAUCGGAACGUGCCCAGUAGCGGGGGAUAACUACUCGAAAGGGUGGCUAAUACCGCAUACUAUUGGAUGGGCCGAUAUGGGAUUAGCUAGUUGGUGGGGUAACGGCUCACCAAGGCCACGAUCCGUAGCUGGUCUGAGAGGACGACCAGCCACACUGGGACUGAGACACGGCCCAGACUCCUACGGGAGGCAGCAGUGGGGAAUUUUGGACAAUGGGGGAAAGCCUGAUCCAGCCAUCCCGCGUGUAUGAGAAGGCCUUCGGGUUGUAAAGUACUUUUGGCAGAGAAGCGGUAUCUGCAGAAGAAGCACCGGCUAACUACGUGCCAGCAGCCGCGGUAAUAC
rnacentral:rRNA from 1 species